rnacentral:lncRNA from 1 species
UCCCUUACACACAUGAGAGAGAGGGAGGAGCCGGCAGCAGAACUCGACACAAGUUCGCCUGAUCGGUGGUCGGGGAAUUGGUGGUGUGUAUGUGGGCUCUGUGAAGUAAUGGCCACCGAAACCAAGUGUUUGUGCUGCCUGGAAUGGGACCUUCAUCGUGAUCAAGAAUCCCAAGCACGGUGUGUUACAUUUCCCCUCCCUUAUAAAUCGGACAGUGCUACAAACUUUUUUACCAUGUCCCCCAAAUCAACCGGAAGCGGCAACCAACUCCAGCAGGACCAGACGGACAGCUAUCCGACAAUAUCCUUUCAGUGCAAGUAAGGGGACACUAUUGGGAAAUUAUGAAGCUAUAAAAGACAAGAAAACAAACCCAAUCAAGUCUCCCUAUCCUUGCCGCCCCUGAUUGGAUCAUGAUGUGCGAUGCAGAAAUGCAGGGAGCGGAGGGAACAGAUGGUGUGUAGCUGCUUGACUCCGACUGCGCCGGUUGCUGACACUUUCCAUCUGAAGGUUUUUUCCAUCUUUGGGGAGGAGUGUUGAUGACAUGACAUGUUCAGUGUCAGUUGCAGAGGUUUAAGAGAGGCUUCCAGAUGGAGGGUCUGGCGUUGACGUUGAGGAGACAUGACUCCAUAUGGAUUCUGUGCGUCACUCCUGCCCAUCCUUGUAUAUGGGUUCAAUGUGAGAUCAUCCACCAGUCACAUCAAGACUUGGGCAUAAGAGUCAAGCAGAAGAAAAAUGUUUUCUCUCUCCAGACAGUAUUAAAGAAUACUCCACAGACACACACAUUCAGUUUCAUAAAUCUUUGCAAGUAGAGCUGUUGAUACAGAUGCAGUACAGAACAGUAGGUCCCACACUGAAUCACUUCCUGCACCUCGUGAACGGCUCAGUUUCUGUUCACGGUGCCAAAUAUUUGAGAUGUAGAUUGGUACACACCACUCCAACUGUCACAGACAGACUGCCAAAGCUGGUUUGAUCAUUUUCUUAGAAAUAAACAGAACAUAAUGAUGUUACACCCACAUAAAAAACACAGACAUAGCACAGAUACAGACACACCCACACACCCACGCAGACGCUGUUAAGUCCUGUGUAACACCCGUAACAUAUUCUCACCAUUUGCAAUAUUCUCUUAAGUAAACAGAAUCACAGAACAAUAAAGAGAGAAUUUCAUGACAGCGGCAUCUGUUUCUUGUUUUGGACAAAAUGUAAAACCCAUUAAAACUAAUCUUCCAGACAUUUGCAUAAGGGAAUUUGAAUUAAACAAUCAAGCUCAUGGGAUGGCAGGUAAAUCACAGUUGGGUUCAAAGGAGUACAUUUAAGAUUUUACUUAGAUGAAAUAUUUCUACAUGAGAUUUCAAACUCACUUGGGGAUUAAGUUUUGUGUCCCUUCGAAUAAAUAAAGACCUUCCCACAAGGAUUUGAUGCAGACAAUGCACAAAUUGGUUCUUAAAAAAAAUAAAAUAAAAUAAGGAUAAGGGAUUGAUGCUCAAAGUUUUCUGUCCCCCCGUGUUGAAACGAAACCUACGUCCUUUGUUGUAGGAUUAUGCAGUGAAUAAUGAGCAGGCUCAAAGAAAGUCUGCUGGAUCUGUGAUGCUGAAGGAAAAUAUGCAGGAUUCAGCUCAAUGUUUCUUUACCCAUCUUCAUUUAAAAUAACAAAGAUUGUUUUUGAACAAAGUAAGUAAACAUAAUACAUUAAAACAACCUAAAAUGAUCCCAGAUAUUUAGUUAAAUAAGUUCAAUUUACUCAAGUACUGUUC